rnacentral:pre_miRNA from 1 species
AACAGCAUUUCGUGACACACACAGUAGCAGCACGACAAUCGCCGCGUCGUGUGUCGCGGAAUGCUG